AAAAGAGGAGGAAGCCAAGAUGUUCCGAUUAUUAUUUGCACUAAGCUUCGUUUUUAUCCUGAGUACCUUUGCAGUCUCAAAGAACCAAUUUGGUUCGAAGAAUGGAACACAGCAAAGUCAGUGCGGAAAGUCCGUUUCGAAGGACAGUUGUUCCUGCCGCGACGGCAGAGACGGCAGAGAUGGCCAAAACGGAAAAGAUGGCCGCGAUGGACGCGACGGGAAGAUAGGAACAAAGG